CAUUAUUACUUUUGGUACGC
rnacentral:ncRNA from 3 species